rnacentral:rRNA from 1 species
UACGUAGGUGACCAGCGUUGUCCGGAUUUACUGGGCGUAAAGAGCGCGCAGGCGGUCGUUCAAGUCGAGUGUGAAAGCCCCCGGCUCAACUGGGGAGGGUCACUCGAUACUGAUCGACUCGAAGGCAGGAGAGGGAAGCGGAAUUCCCGGUGUAGUGGUGAAAUGCGUAGAUAUCGGGAGGAACACCAGUGGCGAAGGCGGCUUCCUGGCCCUGUACUGACGCUGAGGCGCGAUAGCGUGGGGAGCAAACGGG